rnacentral:rRNA from 1 species
UACGGGGGGAGCAAGCGUUGUUCGGAUUUAUUGGGCGUAAAGAGCGUGUAGGCGGCCAGACAGGUCCGUUGUGAAAACUCGAGGCUCAACCUCGAGAUGUCGAUGGAAACCGUCUGGCUAGAGUCCGGAAGAGGAGAGUGGAAUUCCUGGUGUAGCGGUGAAAUGCGCAGAUAUCAGGAAGAACACCCGUGGCGAAGGCGGCUCUCUGGGACGGUACUGACGCUGAGACGCGAAAGCGUGGGGAGCGAACAGG